rnacentral:rRNA from 1 species
GACGAACGCUGGCGGCGUGCUUAACACAUGCAAGUCGAGCGGAAAGGCCCCUUCGGGGGUACUCGAGCGGCGAACGGGUGAGUAACACGUGAGCAACCUGCCCCUGACUCCGGGAUAAGCCUGGGAAACCGGGUCUAAUACCGGAUACGACCAUUGCGGGCAUCCGUUGGUGGUGGAAAGUUUUUUCGGUCGGGGAUGGGCUCGCGGCCUAUCAGCUUGUUGGUGGGGUGAUGGCCUACCAAGGCGACGACGGGUAACCGGCCUGAGAGGGCGACCGGUCACACUGGGACUGAGACACGGCCCAGACUCCUACGGGAGGCAGCAGUGGGGAAUAUUGCGCAAUGGGCGGAAGCCUGACGCAGCGACGCCGCGUGGGGGAUGACGGCCUUCGGGUUGUAAACCUCUUUCAGCGGGGACGAAGCCUUUUUGGGGUGACGGUACCUGCAGAAGAAGCGCCGGCUAACUACGUGCCAGCAGCCGCGGUAAUACGUAGGGCGCGAGCGUUGUCCGGAAUUAUUGGGCGUAAAGAGCUCGUAGGCGGUUUGUCGCGUCGGAUGUGAAAGCCCAUGGCUUAACUGUGGGUCUGCAUUCGAUACGGGCAGACUAGAGGUAGGUAGGGGAGCAUGGAAUUCCCGGUGUAGCGGUGAAAUGCGCAGAUAUCGGGAGGAACACCGGUGGCGAAGGCGGUGCUCUGGGCCUUACCUGACGCUGAGGAGCGAAAGCGUGGGGAGCGAACAGGAUUAGAUACCCUGGUAGUCCACGCCGUAAACGUUGGGCGCUAGGUGUGGGGUUCUUCCACGGAUUCCGCGCCGUAGCUAACGCAUUAAGCGCCCCGCCUGGGGAGUACGGCCGCAAGGCUAA